rnacentral:snRNA from 1 species
GCGUUCGAAUUGUAGUCUGGA